rnacentral:rRNA from 1 species
AUGCUGAACAUAGACAACUUCAUGCACAUGGACCAUGAGUUCUCCUGGAACUUGUUACUGAACACCGAUGCCGAGCGCUCUGCCCUUAAGAUAGAAGAAGGCGUCUACGUCACUUUUAAUGUGAUUGACAUUCACAACAUCUUAGGCACGCCUGUCGAGGGAGAGAUCAACAUAGAAAACACAUAUGCUGCACCCACGUCAGACCAAAUCAAGAAGAUUAGGGGUAUGCUAGAUUUAGAAGAUCUCCCUCUGUAUCUGACGCCCGCUGACCUGCGGUGGGCUCUCAAGAAACCAUGCCAAAACCCCUUUUCCGAGGAAGACAGAGUCCGAACCCAGGUUGGUUUUGCCAUGCUUUGCAUUUCCACUUGUUUUAGUCCUAGGGACAAAAGAACAACAAUCCCAGGGGAAGCGUAUGAGAUAUGCAUGGACCCCUCGAACCUGCAUAAGGUGAACUGGGGGAAAUACAUACAUAGUGAACUACUCCGCGCGGCAACAAGAUGCAAGAAGCUUUUAAGAGAAAGGAGGACGCCCCACGCGUACGGAGGCAUAUUAGUGUUGCAGGCGCUCCACUUUGACUCUGUUGACUGCUCUGCGUUUGUCAAUCCCGAUCUGUCCGUGCGUCCAAGAAUAAGGUUCUUCACAGCUGGCAACCUCGGCAGACUUAUACUUGGCAACACCAUCCCAGGCACUGUUCCUAAGCAGUACGGUGUGAUGAAGGCUAGGGUGGUGCCAACUCAAAACCUCCCGUGGGACACGACACAUGUCAGGCGCAAAAUCGCAGAGGCUAAAGCUUUUAUAAACAGGUUGCUGCAUGAACACUCGCUGGCUAGUACAGAGCGCAACAAGAAGUUUUCCCAGAGGCUAUCUGAGCUUAACAGCGGGGCCAUUUGUUUUGUGAACAACAACAUGCGCAAGGAGAUUGAAAUGCACAUGGAAAAUGAGAGGGUAGUGACGAGGAGGCACAUGGAAACUUUAAUUAAGUACGUUGAUGAGCUGGGCCUGGGAGACUUUGGAAACGACCUAAAACAACAACUCAUUGAUGUGGCGGCUCAAACAGGUGCCUACAGUGGGACUGGAGAAGGGACGAGCUGA